UUAAAAUUAGUUAAAAAAUAACACAAGCUUGUCAAGCCUGAAUUAUCAAUAUCUGAUAUUUUAAA
rnacentral:tRNA from 1 species